GAUGAACGCUGGCGGCGUGCUUAACACAUGCCAGUCGAACGAAGCACUUUAACCUGAUUCUUCGGAUGAAGGUUUUUGUGACUGAGUGGCGGACGGGUGAGUAACGCGUGGGUAACCUGCCUCAUACAGGGGGAUAACAGUUAGAAAUGACUGCUAAUACCGCAUAAGACCACAGAGCCGCAUGGCUCGGUGGGAAAAACUCCGGUGGUAUGAGAUGGACCCGCGUCUGAUUAGGUAGUUGGUGGGGUAACGGCCUACCAAGCCAACGAUCAGUAGCCGACCUGAGAGGGUGACCGGCCACAUUGGGACUGAGACACGGCCCAAACUCCUACGGGAGGCAGCAGUGGGGAAUAUUGCACAAUGGGGGAAACCCUGAUGCAGCGACGCCGCGUGAGCGAAGAAGUAUUUCGGUAUGUAAAGCUCUAUCAGCAGGGAAGAAAAUGACGGUACCUGACUAAGAAGCACCGGCUAAAUACGUG
rnacentral:rRNA from 1 species